AACCAACCGGGAUUGCCUUAGUAACGGCGAGUGAAGCGGCAAAAGCUCAAAUUUGAAAUCUGGUACCUUCGGUGCCCGAGUUGUAAUUUGGAGAGGGCAACUUUGGGGCCGUUCCUUGUCUAUGUUCCUUGGAACAGGACGUCAUAGAGGGUGAGAAUCCCGUGUGGCGAGGAGUGCGGUUCUUUGUAAAGUGCCUUCGAAGAGUCGAGUUGUUUGGGAAUGCAGCUCUAAGUGGGUGGUAAAUUCCAUCUAAAGCUAAAUAUUGGCGAGAGACCGAUAGCGAACAAGUACAGUGAUGGAAAGAUGAAAAGAACUUUGAAAAGAGAGUGAAAAAGUACGUGAAAUUGUUGAAAGGGAAGGGCAUUUGAUCAGACAUGGUGUUUUGUGCCCUCUGCUCCUUGUGGGUAGGGGAAUCUCGCAUUUCACUGGGCCAGCAUCAGUUUUGGUGGCAGGAUAAAUCCAUAGGAAUGUAGCUUGCCUCGGUAAGUAUUAUAGCCUGUGGGAAUACUGCCAGCUGGGACUGAGGACUGCGACGUAAGUCAAGGAUGCUGGCAUAAUGGUUAUAUGCCGCCCGUCUUGAAACACGGACCUCCUGUGUGAA
rnacentral:rRNA from 1 species